UGAUCACUGUCAUAGACAAGGAGAAAAACACGAAGAAAGGCGUGAUGGAACAAGAGGAAUCGCGUCACGAACCGAACAUCGCCACGAAACGUUUCAUACUGCGGGUUCUCUUAUCAUCGUCUGCCCGUCGUACCUGACAACGUAUACAGGUAUAUACAUUCAUACAAAAGCAAAUUGAACGCGCGUGAUCGUGUAUCUAGCGAGAAAGAAUGGAGAACAAUGGACCAGAUGUGGUUGUCGUCGAGUUAUGAUGGUUAUUUUACUGUUAUACCUUUAGUUCCGCAAAUGAAUAACUUGCUCCUAGAGAACUUUUAAAUUGUAUGACAUUACAGGGGGUCAAGUCAAGACCUUGCUAUAAUAUGGAAAUCGUUACAGAUGUCACAGUUGUUAUACAUAUGCAGAGAGUUAUAAACGUAUUAACCUUCAAUCGAUCACAACUUCGCUUAGAGAAGCGUAAGUUAUUAAAUUAUUAAUAAAAGUUAUUACAAAUUACUAAAUUGUAGAAUAUUUAAUUUCACACAUAUUGUAGCUUUUAUUUCAUUAAUUGUAUAUUUUCGUUGCAUUAAAUAUAUAAUAUAAAAUAAAAAUACAUGUAAGAGAAAAUAUGUCGAAUUAGAAAGCUAUUAGUGUCAUCAAUGAUCCAAAGAUGAUAGAAAGUUAGUAAAAUACAACACUACAAUAAUAAGCAAGCGAGAAAUAAGCUUUAUAAAAUAUAUGAAUACGUAUUUGUAAGUAAAAAAAAACUUCAAGAAAAUAAAUAAAAAUAAUACGUAUUACAUUAUACUCCCAGUAAUCUACUUCAUAAAUAUUUCAUACAAAAUAGGUUGGACUUGGUGGAAAAAAUAUCCUAACGAUUCUAUUUACAUAAAAAACUGGAAAUAAAUUAAACUUAAUCACCUACACAACCUAUUAACUGGUAGACCUGGAUGGAAAAAUGGAAAAUUAAUUUUCUAUGAAGACAUGAAGUUGAAAAAAUAUUCUUAUCUUAUAUUGGUUGGAAGUUUAGAUAAUAGCGAUUGGUAUCCGACUCUAAUUAACUGUAAGUACUUCUCACAUAUCAGAAUAUGGGUUUAAUAAACGUUUUAUGACGCCAUUAGAUUUCUCCACUGUGCACCUUAUCUACGAAUUGGACAAUAAAACAAGGGAGCGAAAGACAAAUGAUUCGGUACAUGUUUGGAAUGUUUCUGAGCAGAAAUUGACGCUUCUGAGAUGAAGAUAAGGGAAAACUAAGUAUUCAAUAAAAAUUUGUUCGGAUCUCUAUAAUUCCAUGUGAUUUAAAAGUUUCAUACUUUUGUAUCUAUAUUCUACUAUUUUCUACAUUUUUAUCAUUAUAUCAUUGAAUUUCAAGCGGGCAAUUUAUUUGUAGCACUUGUAAAUUGCUAUGUAUUUUCUUUGUGGAAAUAAAAGAUAUAAUCAACAGUAUCUUUUUUCUUGCAGUAAGCAAGGAGACGUCCGGAUACAGAGGAAUGCAAAAACAUGGAAGAUAGAGAAACAACAAACGGGAUGAAAAAAGAGAACAUAUAAAAAAUAUAGAACUUUGAUAUUGCAAGAGUGAAAGAUCUCGAGUAAAGAAUGGAAUUUCAAAAGAAAUCAUGAAAAAAAAACAAAAAGCGAGAUAUUAUAAUUUUUAAUCAAGUAAGAAGUAAAAAAAUCAAAAAAGAUAUAUUUCACAAGAAUAUGUAAUCUUGAACAAAUGAAAGCUCCAUAAAAGGAACAAAACUUCGAUAGAACUAUAAUUAAUGUGGUAUAGAAUGUUCAAUGAUUUCGCCUAAAAAAAUAAAAUCCUCACGAAUGAA